rnacentral:rRNA from 1 species
CGCGUAGGCGGUCUGCUAAGUUGGAUGUGAAAACUCUGGGCUUAACCCAGAGCCUGCAUUCAAUACUGACAGGCUAGAGUUCUGGAGGGGAUAGCGGAAUUCCUGGUGUAGCGGUGAAAUGCGUAGAUAUCAGGAGGAACACCGAUGGCGAAGGCGGCUAUCUGGACAGAGUCUGACGCUGAGGCGCGAAAGCUAGGGGAGCAAACA